rnacentral:rRNA from 1 species
GGGUUACCGAAUUCAGACAAACUCCGAAUGCCAAUUAAUUUAACUUGGGAGUCAGAACAUGGGUGAUAAGGUCCGUGUUCGAAAGGGAAACAGCCCAGACCACCAGCUAAGGUCCCAAAAUAUAUGUUAAGUGGAAAAGGAUGUGGCGUUGCCCAGACAACUAGGAUGUUGGCUUAGAAGCAGCCAUCAUUUAAAGAGUGCGUAAUAGCUCACUAGUCGAGUGACACUGCGCCGAAAAUGUACCGGGGCUAAACAUAUUACCGAAGCUGUGGAUUGUCCUUUGGACAAUGGUAGGAGAGCGUUCUAAGGGCGUUGAAGCAUGAUCGUAAGGACAUGUGGAGCGCUUAGAAGUGAGAAUGCCGGUGUGAGUAGCGAAAGACGGGUGAGAAUCCCGUCCACCGAUUGACUAAGGUUUCCAGAGGAAGGCUCGUCCGCUCUGGGUUAGUCGGGUCCUAAGCUGAGGCCGACAGGCGUAGGCGAUGGAUAACAGGUUGAUAUUCCUGUACCACCUAUAAUCGUUUUAAUCGAUGGGGGGACGCAGUAGGAUAGGCGAAGCGUGCGAUUGGAUUGCACGUCUAAGCAGUAAGGCUGAGUAUUAGGCAAAUCCGGUACUCGUUAAGGCUGAGCUGUGAUGGGGAGAAGACAUUGUGUCUUCGAGUCGUUGAUUUCACACUGCCGAGAAAAGCCUCUAGAUAGAAAAUAGGUGCCCGUACCGCAAACCGACACAGGUAGUCAAGAUGAGAAUUCUAAGGUGAGCGAGCGAACUCUCGUUAAGGAACUCGGCAAAAUGACCCCGUAACUUCGGGAGAAGGGGUGCUCUUUAGGGUUAACGCCCAGAAGAGCCGCAGUGAAUAGGCCCAAGCGACUGUUUAUCAAAAACACAGGUCUCUGCUAAACCGUAAGGUGAUGUAUAGGGGCUGACGCCUGCCCGGUGCUGGAAGGUUAAGAGGAGUGGUUAGCUUCUGCGAAGCUACGAAUCGAAGCCCCAGUAAACGGCGGCCGUAACUAUAACGGUCCUAAGGUAGCGAAAUUCCUUGUCGGGUAAGUUCCGACCCGCACGAAAGGCGUAACGAUUUGGGCACUGUCUCAACGAGAGACUCGGUGAAAUCAUAGUACCUGUGAAGAUGCAGGUUACCCGCGACAGGACGGAAAGACCCCGUGGAGCUUUACUGUAGCCUGAUAUUGAAAUUCGGCACAGCUUGUACAGGAUAGGUAGGAGCCUUUGAAACGUGAGCGCUAGCUUACGUGGAGGCGCUGGUGGGAUACUACCCUAGCUGUGUUGGCUUUCUAACCCGCACCACUUAUCGUGGUGGGAGACAGUGUCAGGCGGGCAGUUUGACUGGGGCGGUCGCCUCCUAAAAGGUAACGGAGGCGCUCAAAGGUUCCCUCAGAAUGGUUGGAAAUCAUUCAUAGAGUGUAAAGGCAUAAGGGAGCUUGACUGCGAGACCUACAAGUCGAGCAGGGUCGAAAGACGGACUUAGUGAUCCGGUGGUUCCGCAUGGAAGGGCCAUCGCUCAACGGAUAAAAGCUACCCCGGGGAUAACAGGCUUAUCUCCCCCAAGAGUUCACAUCGACGGGGAGGUUUGGCACCUCGAUGUCGGCUCAUCGCAUCCUGGGGCUGUAGUCGGUCCCAAGGGUUGGGCUGUUCGCCCAUUAAAGCGGUACGCGAGCUGGGUUCAGAACGUCGUGAGACAGUUCGGUCCCUAUCCGUCGUGGGCGUAGGAAAUUUGAGAGGAGCUGUCCUUAGUACGAGAGGACCGGGAUGGACAUACCUCUGGUGUACCAGUUGUCGUGCCAACGGCAUAGCUGGGUAGCUAUGUGUGGACGGGAUAAGUGCUGAAAGCAUCUAAGCAUGAAGCCCCCCUCAAGAUGAGAUUUCCCAACUUCGGUUAUAAGAUCCCUCAAAGAUGAUGAGGUUAAUAGGUUCGAGGUGGAAGCAUGGUGACAUGUGGAGCUGACGAAUACUAAUCGAUCGAAGACUUAAUCAA